rnacentral:rRNA from 1 species
CAGUCGCCGCGGGAAUACGGAGGGGGCUAGCGUUGUUCGGAAUUACUGGGCGUAAAGCGCACGUAGGCGGCUUGGUAAGUUAGAGGUGAAAGCCUGGAGCUCAACUCCAGAAUUGCCUUUAAGACUGCCGAGCUAGCAGGUGAGAGAGGUAAGUGGAAUUCCGAGUGUAGAGGUGAAAUUCGUAGAUAUUCGGAAGAACACCAGUGGCGAAGGCGGCCUACUGGCUCAUACUGGACGCUGAGGUGCGAAAGCGUGGGGAGCAAACAGGAUUAGAUACCCGCGUAGUCCCUGUCUCUUAUAC